rnacentral:rRNA from 1 species
AUGAACGCUGGCGGCGUGCUUAACACAUGCAAGUCGAACGAUGAAGCUCAGCUUGCUGGGUGGAUUAGUGGCGAACGGGUGAGUAACACGUGAGUAACCUGCCCUUAACUCUGGGAUAAGCCUGGGAAACUAGGUCCAAUACCGGAUAGGAGCGCCUACCGCAUGGUGGGUGUUGGAAAGAUUUAUCGGUUUUGGAUGGACUCGCGGCCUAUCAGCUUGUUGGUGAGGUAAUGGCUCACCAAGGCGACGACGGGUAGCCGGCCUGAGAGGGUGACCGGCCACACUGGGACUGAGACACGGCCCAGACUCCUACGGGAGGCAGCAGUGGGGAAUAUUGCACAAUGGGCGAAAGCCUGAUGCAGCGACGCCGCGUGAGGGAUGACGGCCUUCGGGUUGUAAACCUCUUUCAGUAGGGAAGAAGCGAAAGUGACGGUACCUGCAGAAGAAGCACCGGCUAACUACGUG